AAUGACCGACUGACAUACGUAAGACAAACUUAGACAAGGAUCCGACGUGGAACACAGACAACAGGUGGGUUUAAAUACAGACGGGGUAAUCAAGGGAAUGAGACACACCUGGGAAACAAU